rnacentral:ncRNA from 1 species
AUACUGCCGCCCGCCGUGGGUGCCCAGCAGUGCUUUUGCACUUGGCUGGGGUAAACGGGAAGUCCGGUGAUGUGCUUCAACACAGAGUCCGGCGCUGCCCCCGCAACGGUAAACCGCGCAAUCGCGGUAAGCCCGAUACCGGCCCUCGGUGAUAGCCCUGA